rnacentral:lncRNA from 1 species
CAUACAUAGAGAGGGAAUGAGGGUGGGAAUUUAAAGAGAUUAGGACUCAGAGGGUCCAACUCAUAUCCAUGGGCAAUAAUUUCAGGUAUUGCCAUAUUUUUAAACCAUAGCUCAGCCACACAAAGGGAAUUAGGGGUAGGGAUUCAUAUAAGGACAGAAACAAAGAAAAAGGCAAAGCUUGCAGAAUCUUACAGCAUAUAAAUAGUAAGCCAGCAAAAGAAUGAACAAAAGAAUAAACACAUAGUGGGUGAGGCAAAAGUUAAAUAAAGAACAUACCAGUUUUAGAAAGAUUAGCAAAGGAAGCAGGAUUCUUGCAAACAAUCCACAGUAAGAGAGGACCCUUUAUGUGUGUGAAUGCGUUCAGAGAAAAACUCGAGUGUUUGUGGAAAAUAUUGAAUUCUAAGUAUUUUU